ensembl:lncRNA
CACCACGUUACCAUGACAACCAGACUUGGCAACCGGCACUCUCCCCCCAGGAGGGGACAGCCCUAGCACCAACCAGGCACAUCCCGGGGCUGCCGGUAGCAACUUGAGGCUAAGAAUGGAAAAACGCUAAGGUGCAGGCAGCGCCAGGGGACAACGGGCACGUCUGCCGUCCAGUCAACAGUCAAGUCUCUGCUUCCGACUGGAUGCUGGACUCCCAGCGCCAACAGGAAGGCUGCACUGUUUUGGAAAAGGAGGGGGAGGAAAAAAAAAUGUGAGUUCAUUUCCUGAGUCUUUUAAAUGUUUCUCCGUAGACAGAGCGUUGAGAAGCCAUGGCCAGAGGGCAGAGCUGACUGCAGGUACUCGGCUCACCCAGAGUGAGGGUCAGAACUUGCCCCCACACACACUGCAUACAGGCCGACAGCAGGAAAAUCUGAUUCAGCAGUGAGACAGAGCUGAAGGAUCGGGGACAGCCUCGGUUCUCACCUCCCUCCCAAGAAAGUCUUUUCGGGGCCAGUUGUUUUUGGAGCAGGCUUCCCUGUUUGUCCAGGCAAGGUUAGAUUAUUAAGUCAAUUUAUCCAUAAGAGAAGGCAGAAAGGGGCCUGGUGACUAAUUGAGGGAUCCCGGGGAGAGCUGUGGGAGCAGCCAGCACUUGUCAAAGCGCUUUCUCACGUAUAUGAUUUUACCCACUUCUCACGGCAGCCCCAUGAAACAGACGGCAGUGUGCCCAUUUCACAGUGACCGGAACACAGCCCAGAGCACAGGAGGCGUGCAGUAUGUGUUUGUCGCAUGAAUGAAGGAAUGAAUGAAUGCAGAAACAACUCCUGCCCUGAUGGAGGAAAGAAGACCCAAAACAGAAGCACAGCAACGUCAAGCAGGCCCACUGAGAUGCAGCAAGGUUCAUUUGAAACCAGUGGCACAAGCCCCCCAAACUGGGCAAACACCACCGCCUGGAGGGCCCCGCUACAAGGCAGUGACGCGGACUUUGCAUUUCCCAUCAAGGUACCGGGAGUAUAUGGGGAGUGUGUCCCCCACGUAGAAGACAGUCCGAGCCCCCUCUUGACAGAUGGAUGCUCAGGAGCUGAGAGCGCCCUGCCUUAUCCUGACAGCAGCAUGGCAAGUCAGGGGCAGAGGCGGGCAUCAGACCUGUCAAUCUGGCCCAUAAAUUCCCCAAUCAGCUCACGGAUUAAAGCAACGAUCGAGUUUUCAAACAGUUGUCCCAGUUCCUGUUUUGCCUCGUGAAGAUUCCACCCAGCCUCCAAGUUGAGGAGCCUGACCUCUGAGACAGGCUCCCUUCUCCCCACUCUGGCUGCCCCUGCUCUCCUCCAAGACCCCAAGGUGGCCUCAGUGACAGUGAGACAGGAGAAGAAAAACGGACAGAAGAACGUGCAGAAGAGGGGACUGAAAAGUCGGAGGAGACGGUCCCCAUCCCACCUACCCGGCCACAAUGCAGGCUGGUUUUGCUCUCCACAGGCCUGCUGGUGUCCUGUCUUUUAUCCUGGUUUUAAGCACAGACAUUUGGAAAUGUUGAUUGUGUUCCUGGCCUUGCCUUCAACCCAAGGACAACACAGGGCCCAGCCCUCAGAAGGCUCCCAGUCCAGCAGUGAUGUUGGGCGGGCAAACCAAACAGCAUGGCCCCUGAGGUCUCAAAGCACAGAGGCUCCGACCAGGCUGGUUACCACCCCUGGGUCUGCAGCCCCUCCAAGUAGAUGUGAGGAAGCUGGGCAGUCCCAGCCUCAAAGAGAGCCAAGCCUUCCCUUUUGGCCUCUUGAUUUCUGAUUCUGCUGGGUCAAGGUCUAUGAGAAAGUGGAUCCAGUCAUUUCCAGGGGAAAGAAAAGUGGGGAACUCAUCACAAAUCACCCUUAAUGAGACCACGUUCUGUUCCUGGGUCACACAAAGUAAAUGUUGAAAAUUGGCCUCAUCACAACCGCUGUCCUCUCAUAGGUGGCCCUUUGGAGCUGUGCAUAAAUGACGACUCUGCAACUCGAGAGGCCCAGGAAUGCCCAUGGGCACAAUGCCUAACACACACCAGAGAGGACCUGAGACACCGGGACUGCAUGUGAAGCCGUACCUUCCACCACAACUUCUCUCCAAAAGACCAUUUGGCUACAACGUAUCAUAUGACUUGUUCUUAGAGUCACAUUUUAACUGACAAAGUUUAACAACAACCAUGACUUAUGGCCUUCUAAAAUUGGCAGCAGAAAAAUGAACUGAGGAAGUAAUGGAAAAAAACCACAAGCGAAGCCACUCUGCAUUAUGCACAAUUUCUGAUGUGCUUCUUUUUUUUUCCUUUCCAGGCGUGUGUGUGUGUGUGUGUGUUUUCGAAUGGUAGAAAAUAUUUUCCAGAUACACUGUCCUGGCAUUCCCAAGCACAUAUUUAUGCCAAGUUUAUAAAAAGCAGCUGCAGACAGGGUUGACUGAAAGGAUUGCUCUGCUGUCUGGCUUCCAGAAGGUGCUUCGGUUCUCACUCUGUCGCCAGGACACAGACUUACCUCCUAAAACUCCCUAACCUUCUGUGUCAUGCACCUGAAAGGGGACAAACCUGUGACUCAGAGGGACCUGGGGAAGCAGUCGCCUCGUGCUCCUGUAAGCUUUCACAUGACACUCUUGACUUGCAAGGUGCUUGAGUGACAUGUGCUCUAUCAUUUUUAGUCAUUCGAAAUCCUCACACAGAUACAAAAAGGAAAGUGUUCCAACACUCGUUUCACAAAUAUCUGGAUGGCUCAGAGGGGCAGGGCGAUUUGAGCGUUAUCAGCACCAGCGUCUGAGUUGUUGGGAACACAUGACGGAGCCCUCCAUGGCAAAAGCUGCAUCAACCUGUCUUUCCAUCCACCUGCUCUGGUUCAGCAAGACCCCCUUUUCCACUGGCCUAAGACUCUCCACUCCCUUCCCUUCACCCCUCCGUGGUCUCCCCCCACUUCUGCCCAGUGAGAGGCUCCAGCCUCCACAUUGGCAUGUCCUGCUUCAUCACCACCCACUCACCCUUCAAUGCCUGGGGACAUCCUGAGCAACUGCUCAUCUGCACCCAAACCCAGACUCUCGCUGGCCUGGGGUGGGGACCCCACUUACCUCCCUCCACCACCACGGGCUUAAUGAAGACAAUAAUAAGCUGCUGUGUAGCUUUCCUGGGGGUGACUAACUGGUUAAUCUUGGGAAGGCCCUUUGAAGAUGAAAAGCCGGGUAUUACUCACGGGGUUGAAGGCAUGCACCUGCCCCAGUCUGGGCCUGAGUCAGCAAAGAAUGACCUCCCACCUGCAAGCAGGCUGGGUGAGCUGGCCUGGGUCCCUGCUCAAGGUCCAGGUUGGCCAACAGGAGGGGUGUGGACAGCACAGCUAGCACCCAGGAAGGGGGAACCAGGAUGCCUUGACGGCCGGUGCUGAGUGGGCCCCUCUGAGUUUGGAAAUUGGGUCUCAUGAGCGUUUGCAGGUUCAAUAAGCCUUCACAUAACACUGCCAAGAGGGCAGCACACACCAAGGAUAUCAGUCAAGACAGUAUUUCCUAGUAAUUGUCUGCAGAAAAUGCUUUUCUAACAGCUAAUGCCUCCUAAGUGACAGUGUUUUCUCCUUCCUCUGGAGGAAGGGAGCCCGGGGAAGGCACGCUGGGGGCAGUGAGCAGCUCUGUGGGACCUGAGAUCUGGGGUGCAAGCGGGGACAGGUAUGUGUUCUCGUCUUCUCUAGCUCGUGGUCUGCUCAGUGUGGCCCCCACUCACAUCUCCAAGGAAGAGGAAGUGGCAGCAAGAACUGGGAACCAGAGGCCAAACCAAGUGGAUGAAGGAGGCGGAUGGAAAUGACAGUUUGGAGCGGAUGAGAACUGAGAACGGGGAGCUGUUUCAGGGGAAGCAGCCACUCUUCUCCAGUUCUAACAGUGCCAUCAAGUGGCUCUGUGAGCAGACGCAGGGCAGUGCCUCCUGACAGCCCGGGCUGACCUCGUGGAGAGAGGAGCACCAGGGCUUUGCAAUGGGCACCCUGCCAAUUGCCAGUGGUCAGCCUCUCACCUCGCAGCACUGAGCCCCACACCUUUCCCUGGAACGGUCUUGCAAGGAGAGGUGGAAGAUGUCUCCCGAGUGUAGGUAUAGUCGCCCUGAUGGAUACAGGUGGCCAAGUUUACCACGUUCCUGCAAGGUGCUUCAUU